CCUACGGGAGACAGCAGUGGGGAAUUUUGGACAAUGGGCGCAAGCCUGAUCCAGCUAUUCCGCGUGUGGGAAGACGGCCUUCUGGUUGUAAACCCCUUUUGUCGAGGACGAAAGUUCUGUUGAUAAUACCUCUCCGUGAUGACGGUACUCUACGAGUAAGCACCGGCUAACUACGUGCCAGCAGCCGCGGUAAUACGUAGGGGGCGAGCGUUAAUCGGAUUUACUGGGCGUAAAGGGUGUGAAGGCGGUUUUGCAAGAUGGAUGUGAAAGCCCCGGGCUUAACCUGGGAAAGGCAUAGAGGACUGGAAGACUAGAGUGCGUCAGAGGGGGGUGGAAUUCCAAGUGUAGCAGUGAAAUGCGUAGAUAUUUGGAAGAACACCGAUGGCGAAGGCAGCCCCCUGGGACGCAACUGACGCUCAUAUACGAAAGCGUGGGGAGCAAACAGGAUUAGAUACCCCAGUAGUC
rnacentral:rRNA from 1 species